UUGGCGGCGUUUUUAAACGCCACUAUUAGACAAAAAAAAACGCCG
rfam:Corchorus capsularis cultivar CVL-1 contig11503, whole genome shotgun sequence.